AUUGAACGCUGGCGGCAUGCCUUACACAUGCAAGUCGAACGGCAGCACGGGAGCAAUCCUGGUGGCGAGUGGCGAACGGGUGAGUAAUGUAUCGGAACGUGCCCAGUCGUGGGGGAUAACGUAGCGAAAGCUACGCUAAUACCGCAUACGAUCUAUGGAUGAGAGCGGGGGAUCGCAAGACCUCGCGCGAUUGGAGCGGCCGAUAUCAGAUUAGGUAGUUGGUGGGGUAAAGGCUCACCAAGCCGACGAUCUGUAGCUGGUCUGAGAGGACGACCAGCCACACUGGGACUGAGACACGGCCCAGACUCCUACGGGAGGCAGCAGUGGGGAAUUGUGGAAAAUGGGGGAAAGCCUGAUCCAGCAAUGCCGCGUGCAGGAUGAAGGCCUUCGGGUUGUAAACUGCUUUUGUACGGAACGAAACGGCGAGCUCUAAUACAGUUUGCUAAUGACGGCACCGUAAGAAUACGCACCGGCUAACUACGUGCCAGCCGCCGCCGUAA
rnacentral:rRNA from 1 species